rnacentral:lncRNA from 1 species
GUUUAUAGCAACCUCUGCCCAUAACUGUUACCUGCCACAAAAAUUAGGAGCCAGUCUGUACCAAGAUGAGAUACCUACAGUUCAAGAAGUCCUGCAUGCCAAAGAACAUGUCAACAGGCAUAGAGAAACUCAAGCUGGUUGCUUCCAUCUGACUCCCCUUCCAUUGCUAAUACAUCCUCCAAUGCCAAAGACCAGAAGACCUCUGCUAGGAACACUUCCGAAUAGCAAAAGUAGUCUGCCUCCUUCCAGCACCCCUCUUCCACCAAAAUUUCUCUCUUCUCUCCUGGCCGUGAAGAUCCUAUCCUCUGCUUCAUACUCCAGUGCCAAGCCCCAGUGAACCAAGGUUGAGAAGACGUAGUAGGUUUCCAAGGACAUCAAAGCUUACCCAGUGCUUGGUUCACUAGUAUGGGAGUGGCUGAGAGAACAAUCAUGGAAUUCUGCCUUUCACCUUGGAAACAGAAUAUUACAGACCAUGUAAAGCCAAAUGAACAGAGGGAAUCAAAGGAAAUGCAUCCCGUGCUGUCCCUUUAAAUGGGUCUGACUUACCUGUGCCCCACAGAGGGCAAGGAAAGCACACAACUGGCAGCAACAUACCUCAAGAUUUUCCUGAAAGACCUAAACCACAAAGGAACUAAUUUCCUCAUAUCCAGGAAGGCUAAGCUCUCUUAUGGCCGCAAUUAAAAUCCAUCUGUGUUCCUCUAUUAAUGUGGAUCCAGUGUGUAGGACUCCUUGAAAUAACUUUACACUAUCCAAGGCUGGCACUUGGCACAGCCAAAGAGGCUCAUUGAUUGAACGAGCCUGAAUCUCCAGCUAGAUCUGGAUAACAAACCUCUUCUGU